rnacentral:rRNA from 1 species
GAUGAACGCUGGCGGCGUGCCUAAUACAUGCAAGUCGGGCGAACAGAUGAGAAGCUUGCUUCUCUGAUGUUAGCGGCGGACGGGUGAGUAACACGUGGGUAACCUACCUAUAAGACUGGGAUAACUCCGGGAAACCGGGGCUAAUACCGGAGAAUAUUUUGAACCGCAUGGUUCGAUAGUGAAAGACGGUUUCGGCUGUUACUUAUAGAUGGACCCGCGCCGUAUUAGCUAGUUGGUAAGGUAACGGCUUACCAAGGCGACGAUACGUAGCCGACCUGAGAGGGUGAUCGGCCACACUGGAACUGAGACACGGUCCAGACUCCUACGGGAGGCAGCAGUAGGGAAUCUUCCGCAAUGGGCGAAAGCCUGACGGAGCGACGCCGCGUGAGUGAUGAAGGUCUUCGGAUCGUAAAACUCUGUUGUUAGGGAAGAACAAAUUUGUUAGUAACUGAACAAGUCUUGACGGUACCUAACCAGAAAGCCACGGCUAACUACGUGCCAGCCGCCGCUGUAA